ACCUCACCGGGCGCGAAGCUGACCAAGACACGCCUCAAUCUUCUGCUUACUGCGAGUGCAGCAGGCCGAAGAAAAGCAGCGGUUACCUGCGCAACAGACAAAGCCAGUCAUCCGCUCUCCGCAAUUCCCUUGUGGCACCCCUCGUCGACCUCAGCCGCCUCGUCGCGUGAGUGAUCCCUUUGACUCGGCGCGCGCGCGUCACAGCCUUCGCAUUUCAUCUCGUGCGUCGCUUACAUCGCGGCCCCUCUCGCAGACCCCUUCAUGGCAGCGAUGGCAUGCAGAAAAACGAGCAACACGUACAACGCUUAUGCUAAAUAGCACGGCAGAGGCCAGGGCUGGCAUGCAGAGCCAGCAGAGGGGGCAGUGCGAACAGACGUGUGCGUUGAAGACGUUAAUCCGGCCUUGGUGGAGGUGGCGAAGUCCGCAUCGUUCCUCGGCGAGGCUUUGCUUCUUGGUCUCCUCAAGGUAUACCAUCCUCGGCUCGUAUUCGUGGCUGCUUUCUCACCCCUUUUCCACGAUUUGCUCUGACGCAUCGCGAUGCACGUCGCAUGGGAGAAAGGUAAAGCGGUAGUGCGUCGUGGUGGUGGUGGGUAGAGAGUGCAAAAUGACGACGCCGGUUUCCCCAGAACGUCUAUUUCCUCUCGUCGCCGUGUUCAGUGGAAAGCCGAUAGUCUCUUGAGCAGCUAAUCUUGAUUGCGCAAGUGACUUCGUCUGCUUCUCAGGUGACGGCCGUCUCCCAGAAGUGAAAGCACGUACGAGUUC
rnacentral:misc_RNA from 1 species